GUGAAAGAUUGUACAAUGUUGUGGUUACCUUCGUACAUUUUCUUUUCAGAGAACUUAUCACAACUUGCUUCGGUUUGGAGACAAUGUACAAUGUUGCUAGCUUCUCGUCAUCAGCACAAUGCAUCCUGCACGUGUCACAGCCUUGUAAAACAAGCAACCGUGUGGGUGCCAGUCACGUGCGUCUUACGUUUGGAACCCUUGUGCUAGUGGGGGGCAACGGCUGCAAAUCCGGCGAUACGUGAAGGGGUUUCGAUCAGAUGUUCCGUCAAUCCAUAGCGUUUACUCCGCCGGUCCAUGGCUCUGAUCCGCCGCCGCCGCCGCCGGCACAGCAGCAAUCUCAGCAGCAGCAGCCGUCGGUUGUGAACGUGAGCGAGAGCUCUAGAAGGCAACAGAUUGCAGCAGCUUCUUCAUCGCCGGUGAAAUCUCAUCCGCUACACAACUUCCCGCUUUCUGAUCUCAGGUGGGCUAUGAAUCACGCCAAUACACAUCGGCUGCGGAAACCAUCCGGCAGAUCUCCGCUCCGCGAAGCUACUAAUCAUGGCAAAGGGAGUCUGGUGACUGAGGAGGUUAACGAAGCAUCUGGCUCUUCAUCUUUUGAAUUGAGACCGGAGAAGCAGAAGAAGAAGAAGGAUGUUGUCAGUGACUACUCCGCCGCAGAUCGAUCCGGGACGAAGUCAACGGCGGCGGACGGUAGAUCGAAGAUCUUUAUCCGGAUCCGCACGAAGAACAACGAAGAAACAGCUGAUACCUCCGCCGCCACCGCCACCGGAGUCUCCGCCGCCACCGUCGUCGCUGAUGUUCACGAGACUGAUGAUUCAGCUGAGCCGGGGAUUGAUGCUGAUGUAUCUAUCGGUGAACGGAUCUCCGAUGGUGGUGGUGGUGGUGGUCAGGAAGGAGACGAGUUUGGUCCGAAGACUUGGAAUCUGAGACCGAGGAAACCGCCGACGAAGAAGCGUUCAAUCGGAGGAAACAGUGGUGGAACGUUAUUGACGGAGAACAAAGCUCAGGGAACGGUUAGAACGGAGGCUAUUCGAUCCAGGAACGGCGUGGAUGCCAAGAUUGCGACGGCGACGGAGAGGAAGGAGAAGAAACCGAGGUUAUCGAUCUCGCUAUCAAAGAUGGAGAUAGAUGAGGAUAUCUACUCGUUGACCGGAUCAAAACCUAGCAGAAGACCAAAGAAGAGAGCCAAAAACGUGCAGAAGCAGCUCGAUGUUCUGUUUCCAGGUUUGUGGAUGGGUAACGUUUCUUCAGACGCUUACAAGGUCUCAGAACAUGCUUAAAAGAGGAUUGAUGUGAAGUUAGUCUUGUUUUGAUUGGCUUCGACUGAAACCAGAUAGGGGAGUUGAUUAAGCUUAUUUUUCCACGGAUUAAGAAUUGCAAUUGUCGCUUCUUCAAAGCCUUAGCUUCAUUUUUUCGGGGCGUGCUCGAAAUAUUGCCUCGAGGUUUGAAAGCACUGAAAUCAAUCUUUAGCUUCAGAAUUGGGUCCUAACUGGCGGCAGUAUGAAAUAUCUCCGAUCCGGCCACCUUAUUUGCUGCCACUGAUGUGAUGUCAUGAUGAUACGGCCUUAGUUCUUUUUUUCUUUGUUUACACACUUGUUGACCUUUUUGUAAUUAAUUUAGUCGGUAGUACACUCAGUAAUUUUUUUUCAUUGGUUGACCAAUUUUGCGAAAAUAAAAUGAGAAUAAUCUACAUA